CAACUACUCCCUCCGUCCGAAAAAGCUUGUUCUAAAUUUGUUCCUCAAAUGGAUGUAUCUAGCAUUAUCUAGCACUAACUUGGUGCUAGAUACAUCCAUUUAAGGGACAAGCUUUCUCGGAUGAAGUGAGUAGGAC
rnacentral:pre_miRNA from 1 species